rnacentral:rRNA from 1 species
UACGAAGGGGGCUAGCGUUGCUCGGAAUUACUGGGCGUAAAGGGCGCGUAGGCGGAUAGUUUAGUCAGAGGUGAAAGCCCAGGGCUCAACCCUGGAAUUGCCUUUGAUACUGGCUAUCUUGAGUUCGGGAGAGGUGAGUGGAACUCCGAGUGUAGAGGUGAAAUUCGUAGAUAUUCGGAAGAACACCAGUGGCGAAGGCGACUCACUGGCUCGUAACUGACGCUCAUGCACGACAGCGUGGGGAGCAAACAGG